GACGAACGCUGGCGGCGUGCUUAACACAUGCAAGUCGAACGGUAAGGCCCCAGCUUGCUGGGCUACACGAGUUGCGAACGGGUGAGUAACACGUGGGUGACCUGCCCCGCACUUCGGGAUAAGCCUGGGAAACUGUGUCUAAUACCGGAUACGACCACACCGUGCGUGACUUGUGGUUAGUUUUUCGGUGUGGGUUGGUCCCGCGUCCUAUCAGGUUGUUGGUGGGGUAAUGGCCUACCAAGGCGGCGACGGGUAGCCGGACUGAGAGGGUGAACGGCCACAGUGGGACUGAGACACCGGCAAGACUCAUACGGGAGGAAGCAGUGGGGAAUAGUGCGCGAUGGGCGGAAGCCGUAAGCAGCGACGCCGCGUGGUAGAGGACGGUCGUAGGGUUGUAACCUCCUUGCGCCAGCGAAGAAGGUUUUGUGACGGUAGAUGGAGAAGAAGCACCGGCUAACUACGUG
rnacentral:rRNA from 1 species